AAUGAGUUCCAACUACUUAAAAACCUGUUAUAAGUUCAUACACAUUUAUUUUUUUGAGUAGUUUGAACAAGUUUGUUUUUUCAAGUUAUCAGUACUUGAAUAUAUUGAUUAGUUUCUAGCAUUGCCCUCAAAUAAUUUGAGUUUUAACACUGACGUCACUUACGUGCCUACGUACGUACGUACCUACGUGCGCCACCUGUUUCUUUAUGAAGUGCUGGCAACCAUCUUGGAUUCCUCGCUUCGAGUGCGAAUGCCCGCUCAUUACUCCGAAAGAAACUUGUGGAACGUUAAUAUCCGAACAGAAAUAAAAACAUUUGUCAAGGGGUUUUUUGCGGCAUUGCCGUUGACGCUGGAUAAAGGAGGGCAUGCUAUGGUAUGUUACGGACUUUUGAACUGGAACAGCUAACGCUCUGCACUUGGCUAGCUGCAUUUACCGCCUUUGCGGCAUCUUCAGGAGCGCUUUUGUGUCUGUCUUGUCUUCUGUGUUUUACUGUUAUGUCCAUGCCAGGGCAGAAGUAAAUUUUCAGGGGUGAAGAUGCUGUUUACCUUGACCAGCUAAGACUACAGAUUGUAGAUGAAGUCGAGAAAAGUGAAAAGAAUCCUGAACAAAGCUGAUGCUCACAACUUUGGCCUUGCAAUGCAAAGAGAUCAUCAAUGAUGACCUACCAGUAGGUCAGAUCCUGGAUUGCUGGCCUACUCUGAAAUCCCAGUCCCAGAUCUGUGCAGAAUUCCACAGGAUUACAAACCUCCACCUGAAGAACCACUUUUAUGCUGUUGGACCAACAUGCUCCCUGGCUCCAGAGUUUAUUCAGAAAGAAAGCUGUUUGGACAGGGAACGUGUCUGAUGUCCUGUCUCAGCUCUUCAGAAGCUAUAAUCUCCAGGAACAAGCUGAUAUCCAUGCCCAAAGUGCUGGUGUGCUUCAUGCCCUCUCUGCCUAUUUGUACGAAGACACCUCUACCUUCAUCAAAACAUGGGAUACCUCAUGCUCCACUUUUGAAAUGCUCCUGGUGUGAUAUGAAAUCCUUCAAAGAGCAGCACAAAACUCUGUUACACAGAUGCAGAAACAGACAUGGCAGAUGCAGUGCACUCCUGAGGUAACCCCGGCAGAAGAAACUGCCUCUUUAUCAGGUCAGUGCACUCCUGGGUAGCAGGUAGUGUUACACGGUGUUACUGUCUAAAACUAAUUACACUCCUUUCGAAGCAUUUAGCAGUAAUAACUUUAAGUACUCAUUUCCGUGUGACUUUAUCAGCAUCUCACAUCUUUUUUACAGCAUUGAGUUCAUUGCAGGCAUUCACGUAUGGAAGCUCUCUUAUAGUUCAGCACUUCAACCAGGUUGAGGUUUGGACUUUGGCCGGGGCUUUCAGCACAUGGUUCUGUUUUUUUCAGCCAUUCUUAGGAUAAUUGUUUUGUUGCAUGACUCAGUUUCAUCCAAGCUUCAGCUGUUGGGGAGAUCGCCUCACAUCUGACUCUAGAAUAUUUAUACAGAGGAGUUCAUCGUCGACUCAAUGGCUGCAAGGAAUCAAGGUCCUGUGGCUGCAAAACAAGCCCAAAUCAUCACUGCUCCACCACAUUGCUUUAUCAUUGUUAUGAGGUAUUUGUGCUGAUGUGCGCAUAUAUUUCUGCUUUUAUAGAGGUGCUCACACCUUUUGGUAAUCAUUUAAUCGAGUGUGCAUUUGAUUAGCAAUUCCUGGCUGCUACUUACCCUCCUAAUUCCUAUGGAAGGGGUGUACUUCCACAGACUUCACAGAGUUUCCUUUUCACACGACUGUAUCUUUGUCUGCUGCUGUGAUCUCGCAGAGCUGAGAGAGUGGCAGCAGAACAUAUUUAGAAAGUUUAUUUAAUGUAACAAUACUGCAUGGAAACCAUAUCCCAUAUGAUUAAAAUGUACUUUAGAUAUCCAGCAUAAAAUCACUUUUUUACAAAGUGGAUCUCAGUGUUUUAUGUGAUUUGCUGUUGCUUAAUGAUUUUUGACAUUUUAGCUGAAUGAGAUGGAGAUAAUGCAAAUGAUUUGUUACCCUGCUUAGGAGUUUAGUCGCGUAAUUGCAAUUUGUUUGGUUAUAUAAAAAUAUUACAUCAUUUACAUGUGUGAUCUCAAAGGCCCUGCACGCCCACAGUCUGCCCACACAGGCAUUUUCACUUAUGUUACCUAAUAAGUGAUGUGCUUGAUUGACAUUCAGCGAUAUCGCUAAUUCCCGGUACAGCUUCACUCAAUUUACACCAGAAUAGAGGUCUAAGUGAAAACACCUGUGUAGGUGUGCUGGGCUUUUAAACUGCAGAGUAGCCCAAUGUGCAUAAAAUAUAUGUAAAUAAAUGAAAGAUGGCGUAUAAUAAGAGUAGAAGUGUAAAGAAGUAUAAAAAGGAAAACGUUCAGUAGUACAUUAGUUUAGUGCUAGUGUAUUAAUGUUUUCCGACUGAGAUUAAUUAUCGUCCAUGCUUUAUUUCUGCUGCUUUCACAUGAGACUACAACUCCAAAACAGAGUUACAGUUAUUAAAGUUUGUCAUUUUGUAAUUAGUUUUUAUUUUUGUCUUUUUUUUCAGUUUUGUUUUAAUUCAAUUUAGUUCCAGUUAGUUACCAGGGUUAGUUUUUAAUGUUUCAGAAUGUUUAGUUUUACUUUUGUUUCUUAUGAAUUUUUAGUGGGUAGUUUUAGUCUCAUUAUGUUUACGGGGAUAUGCCAGAGGCAAGAUUUUGAAAUAUUAGUUGACUCGCAGUCUUGUAGAGAUCCAAAGUCUCAAUAAAUAUGUCCUAUAUACGCUUCAUAAGGCAAGUUGGGAUCAUUUUGCUUAAUUAACAAAUACUAAAACACUGCAGGGUCUUCACUGAAGGAGAAGGGCCAUCUCUAACAGCAUAGAGGCAGUGGAAAAAAGGCGUCAGGUGGCUCUGGAUAAAGAGAGCAAGCAAAGGCUUGAUCAGCUGGGUCACCUGAGUGAAGGUGUCUGAUGUUCGAGAGACCCAAAACACCCGAUGACCUCAGGACACACCACAGAGGAUGUAACAUAGCUUGGCAUCUGAAGGUGUGUCAUUACAAUAAACAAAGGCUACUUCCUCUAUAUGUAUUACCGUAUUUUAUUUUAGUUCAUUUUCACAGCUCGUUUGUCAGCUUUUGUUUUUAAACGUUUGUUUUAGUUAACUAAGUUUUAGUUGUUAGUUAAAUUUUAGUUAUGUCUCCAGAAAUACCUGUUAGUGCACUUUCAUCGAGCAGUGAAGUUGUUCUACAUUUCUAAAAUGUGGCUUAGAUUUUGACCCCUCAGAUUUGAUCCACCUCGCCAUCGUGAAAUCUGGUGACGUUGCGCCAAAAACUUCUACUCCAGCAUUAUUCUGUAGUUGAGAGAUGCACUCACCAGGGGAGAGAAGCAGCAAAUAUACACAUCCAGUCUCUCACUGUGCCAUGAUGAAAAGCAAGGAGCAUCUGCCUUCUGUUGUUUUAAUCCCCAAGGACGUUUUAAAAAAAUGCCUCACUUUUUAAACCUGAUGUGAAUUAUAUGGAUCACCUGAAGAAAUGAGAUGCUGGAGGAUCCUUCGCAACACGUGCAAUCUAAUUACUCCAUCUGAAUCAAGAUGAAACUUCUGGGGCCAAAGUGAAGUGCCCAAAGUGCACAUCCUCUAAUAGCUACUUAAAUGAGUCAGCCCCAUAGACUCCAAUGUAAAAACUUAAAAUCAUAAAGCGUGUUUACAGAAAUGGUUUUCGCCUCUAUAGAUAGCUUCCUCCUUCAUUACAAGUGUACACUUGAUCCCAUGGGAUCCUCAUAGAUUAUUCCAUGAGGCUAAAGCAAGAAUAAUCCACGAUGUCCCAUAAUGCCACAGUCAAGUUAAAAAGUUUUUCUGUGGGUGUUGCUGGUAUUGAUUUCAACCUGCUAAAGGAUAUUCUGAAUUUGUUUGAUCUACUCAUAAAAUAAUUCAUUCUCAUUCUUAUUAAAUGAUGUGUUUUGCUAUAUCACCAAGACAUUAAAUUUCAUAACAGUCUGAGUUUUAUUACAUUUGAACUAAUUUAUGUUUUAACCAUUUUUACAGUUUCCACACUUCAAAUUUAGCUAACUAAGUGAUUGUAAACUCGCUAAAAAUGUUUUUAUCAUUGGUUGCUCUCCAUUUUUGUUUAUGUGCUGAGUAAAUAUUUAUUUUGUUUGAUUUGGAUUUUUCCAAGCAGUUACAAGGCUCAUGAAUUAUGUAUUAUGGCUGCACUUAAAUUCUGUUCUGGCAUUUCACGCAGGUGCAUGCUUGUAUUUUUAAUAUCAAGUGAAACUACUUGUGAUUCUUCCAAGUGUAGAUGAAAAUGCAUGACAAAAUUACGCUCCUCAUAUUCUUUUGGUGUCGUAACAGUGCCUCUCUUUAUAGCUUCCAAGUUUUAUAUAGUGUUUCCUAUAUUGUCCUUUAUUGUCAUUUCUACUGGAAUGACUACUGUCGAUAAUGGACCUGAUUUUCAUCAUUAUUCACUAUCAAAGGUUAAAGUGGAUUUGGCAGGUGGGGGAAUUCUAAUAUCAAGGGGCAAAGGAUUACACAGUAAAUUUAAUUUUGGUUUGUUUUUUUAAAACUAUAUUUCAAAAAACAAGAGUAGUGCUGCUACGCCAAUAUUAAAUGUUUUAAUAUUGGUGGGGUGGAUUUAGGGUUCCAACUGAUUUCAAUAAGGUAUAAGCAGAUGCUUCAUGCUUUUUAUGGCUGAUUUCAACUCCUAUACAGUAUAAUGCUAGUAUAAAAGGUAGAAUUAGGUGAGUGAAAUGAAUAAAAAGAUGAGAUAAUCAUUAAAUAUUAUAACUGAUAAUAUAUAAAUUCAUAACAACUCUUAAUGUACACUAACACUGACCAUGAAGAGGCUGCUUUGUAGCAGUCCAGCAUACUGAAUCACACUGUAAACUUCACCACAGUGCUGCAAACUAACCACUGUAGCCUGCUCAAAACAAUCCUCAGUUUCUCUUGCAAGACGUUUCACAGAGACAUAAUUCAGCAACACAUUGUGUAUAUACAAUGUAUAUCCAAUAUCUGGUUUAAAAGCUCUCAAAAAAAAUGCAGACAUUCUAUGUAAGCUUGAAACUUCCUGUUUAUUAAAAUUCACAUCCUGAGCUAUGUUUGAAAAUGUUUGUCUUUCAAUGGACAACACAGCAGCUGUAUCUUUAGCUAAUACACAUAUUUUGUGACAAGCUGUGCAGAAACAAUUUGUGUGUUUGGAGAUUUUUUGAGUUGAUUGAAAAGUUAAAUUUGCUCGCUCGUCUUCUGUGCUAGAUGCUAAAGUACCCCAGCUUUAUUUACAUCUGCACCAUGAACGCAUCACAGGCAUGAGAAGGAAAAAAGGGCACGAGCGUGCCGUGGGAUGUCAUUAUUUUAAUUGUUUUCUUAUUACUGAGCAAGUGUCGCCACUGGAAGCAACACCGACCUACAGCACACAAAAAAUUGGGCUCACUGGACAGUAAUAUGCAUUAAUCAGAUUUAAAUGCUCAUUAAUUUAAGGUGUCUGGACGCCGUUCUGGGCCACUUUAACCCCUGUUCAUUUACUGGUCUAUACAUAACAUUUCCUAAUAAUUCUGCUUCUCUCUUGCAGAGUAAAAUCAUUAUGGGAAAAUCGUUAAUCCCCAGAACAACCAAAGGCUCCUGUUUGGAGUGUGGCCACAAGUACUUUUGAGCGCUUAGAGACCUUACAUUCUACGACUCUACGAUACAUAUACUGUAUAACUGAAGAGAAGUUUUGGUUUCAGAAGAUUCAUAGCUCAUUAACUGUAUUUAUUGCUUUCCCGCAGUGGAAGGCACUGCACUGUAUUCAGCAUCAACAACCCUCUUUAUUACUGGCAAAAGACAGGAUUUAUGCGCUUUGUGUUAUAGCCUGAUUCUGUCAAAAACCUGUCACAGUAGUGGCUAGUCCACCCAGUAUUACUUUCCCUAAUCUUCAUGUUUACAAUAGUGCUGGGAUUUUUAAAUUAUUCUAUCUAUAUUAUUCAUACAAUGCAUGCAUAAUUUUGGGCAAUAUUGUGUUAUGUGAUGGCUUCUGGUUAACCAUUUUCAUACAUGCACUGCAGCCGGAGCUUUUCAAGGCGUUAGGUAAUGUGUGUGAGAAGUGGACAUCCAACAAUCUUUAACUAACCAGCUCUGUAAUACAAAGUCUAUAUGUGGUCCAAUUCUUCUGAUGUGAGGAUAAAAAAGCACUUGUCUGUAAAUUCUUCGCUAGCGGGUGGUCAUCCUGUGACUUGCCUCCUGCAUGCGCUGCUCAGUCAGCACGCUCGUCUAAACAACAGUGAGUAUUUUGAAAAGUCAGAACUCCUGCUAUGUGCUGCAUGUGAUAAAAAGGCAUUUUUGGAAAACCUCCGGCCCUGACUGAUUCUGCUGUUGUCUGAUAUUCUGGGAUAUACUUCUCUUUUGAGCUUUAUCCACUUUUAACUUUUGAUCACAAAUACACGGUUAGGUGGUGAAGGCCACAGCAAAAACCUUUAAGCUUUUGCCUCGAUGAAGUAGUCUGUUGUGGAUUUUGAGAUGCGUUUACAGUCCUUUAGUAGAGGUCAUCCUUUUUUCGUCUGCAGCUUUAGCGCGGAAUGAUGUCUGACUCAAGAAUCUGCCGCUAUUUAAUUGAAUCCAUUCUUUCUCUGCAAGUGGAAUGUAGCCACAAGCUACAACACAAGCCCAAGGCAUGAUCCAUCUAACACCUGCUUAACACUUAGAGAGCUAUUCUUUCUAUAUAAAGAACAGCUCUCCAUUUAUCUACUGUGGCUCAAAAUUUAUAUUUCAACCGUAAAGUCUGGAAAACUUCCAAAGUGCAUCAAGCUAGUUUGCGGGUGCUUUGAACAGCAUUUCUAGCAAGCCAAAGAGCAAUUCUCAUAGAUUUAUUUCAUAUUUAUAUAUCACCAAAUCAUAAUAAUAAUUACAUGAAAGCACUUUGCAUUAGAGGACAAAUAAUUCAUAAAUAAUCCAUCAAUCGUCUAUGGGAUUAAGAACCAGAAUGGGCAUAAAACUUUCUCUAACAGAGAUAAACCUUCAGCAGCAUGAAGCUCAGGGUGCUGGUUGAAGGUGAGAGAAAAGUGGACCUCCAUUUACAGCCAUUUCUCACUUACAUUACUGAUUUUAAACAUAUAUGUGAAAAAAUACAUCAUGUUGGCUUCUCUUGCUUUAUGGCCAUCAAGUAUUUUAAUUGUGUGCUAAGCAGCUUAGAAGAGCCCAUGGCAGCCGAUUGGUCUGUCAAGGUUUGAGAAGUAUUGAAAAAGCCCUGAGCUUUCUAUCACUUGGCUUUUAUAAUGACGACUAUAAACAAGCCAGGGUGAUAGCAAGGUUAAUAAAUUCUGAAAUGUUGGUAAAAGUAAUCAUUGAUACCUUAGACCUCAUAUCUCUUGAAGAGC